rnacentral:rRNA from 1 species
CACGUAGGCGGACUCUUAAGUCGGUGGUGAAAUCCUGGAGCUCAACUCCAGAACUGCCUUCGAUACUGAGAGUCUCGAGUCCGGGAGAGGUGAGUGGAACUGCGAGUGUAGAGGUGAAAUUCGUAGAUAUUCGCAAGAACACCAGUGGCGAAGGCGGCUCACUGGCCCGGUACUGACGCUGAGGUGCGAAAGCGUGGGGAGCAACA